GACAGAGGGGGCAAGCGUUGCUCGGAAUCACUGGGCGUAAAGGGCGCGUAGGCGGGAUGGCAAGUCGGUCGUGAAAUCCUUCGGCUCAACCGAAGAACGUCGGCCGAUACUGCCGUUCUUGAGGGAUGCAGAGGAGAUUGGAAUUCCCGGUGUAGCGGUGAAAUGUGUAGAGAUCGGGAGGAACACCAGUGGCGAAGGCGGCGAUCUGGGAAGAUACUGACGCUGAGGUGCGAAAGCGUGGGGAGCAAACAGG
rnacentral:rRNA from 1 species